CUUGGGCAGUUAGUUACCGUACCAUGGAAGCAGCAGCAGCGUCGCACAGAACUGUCACGUGACUCAAAAAAAGACAAGGUUUGAAUAAUGUUUGUGUUAAGAAUGCAAGAAGAAGAAGGGUGGGUGCUGUGCCUGUGAAUGUGGAUGAUGUAACCACAGUACUUGACCCAGCUCCAGUGCAAGUCACAUGGCAAAUUGUGGUUGGAGCUAUAGAUAGCUCAAAAAAGAUGUGAGGUGUGUGGAGGGUCAGGGCUUGUUCUUAGGGAAAAGGAAAAGGACUAUCUCCGCUGCCCAGAAUGUGGCGGGUUUCUUCCUUGGCAAUCCUUGAAAAGAUUCUUCUCCUGUUAAUUUCUACAGCAUUGUAUAAAAAGCCAUACUUCAACAAUGACAACUUUAUUUUAGCAGAGAUUCGCUGUUUGUGAGAGCAUUCUCUAUUAUACACAAAUGUAAACAACAUAGUAAAGCUAUUUGCAAUGAUUACCAACAAAAAAAUUUAUUAGAAACAUUGCAAUUCCUUUUUUUGAGAGAAAUGGUAUUUGCUACCUUAUUGAUAUACU